UAAGCCUUGAGAACUUAGUCCGUAGG
rnacentral:piRNA from 1 species